rnacentral:rRNA from 1 species
GGGUAACCUGCCUGUAAGACUGGGAUAACUCCGGGAAACCGGGGCUAAUACCGGAUGGUUGUUUGAACCGCAUGGUUCAGACAUAAAAGGUGGCUUCGGCUACCACUUACAGAUGGACCCGCGGCGCAUUAGCUAGUUGGUGAGGUAACGGCUCACCAAGGCGACGAUGCGUAGCCGACCUGAGAGGGUGAUCGGCCACACUGGGACUGAGACACGGCCCAGACUCCUACGGGAGGCAGCAGUAGGGAAUCUUCCGCAAUGGACGAAAGU